GGUGGACCGCGCGGACCCAGCUAGCUCCCACGGGUCAUGUGCAGCGCAUGCGUGUAGUUAUGGGCGGGGACCCUAUGUCUCUCGUACGCGCACAACCCCUAUCCCCUUUUUUUUUCUCUUCCCUUCUUCGAUCCAGAUCUGCGCGAUGCGAGAUAAGAGGCGGCGGCGACCGCGCGUGUGCCAAGCGACGGUGAGCUUGGGCAUGUGCUCUCAGCCGCGACCUCCUCCUCAUCCGUCCUCCCUCGCCGGUUACCCAACCUCACCGGCUUGAUGCAGUGGCAGGAAGGACCGGCGACUGUGGCAGCAGGAAGGACACAGCUCGUCCCCUCAAGGAUUGCGUCUAGGAAUCUGUGGUGGAAGGAUGCGGCUGCAGCGGCUUCUGGCAACAUCACCUCCUUGCCCUCCACUCUCGUCGUCGCAUACUACAUAGCUAGAGUAAGGAAACCCUAUCACAGAAUGAAUUUUUGUUUUCAUGGUCAGAUCUGUUCAAGUAUUAAUUUGUGAUGUUGGCAAAUCAGUUCAAGCAACCCUAGCACUGUCCUUUGUUGCAAAGAAAAUCAGUUCAAAUAUUAAUGUGUGAUAUUAGCAAGUAUUUUUUUAUGAGAUGAUUUGUGCUUCAGCAUGAUAUGUCAACAUGUUUAUUUUUCUUUGAUUGCUGUAUUGUAGAUGGAUAAGACGACCAAGUUUUAAUUUUUGUUGCUGCUUCAAAUAUAUUAUUGUCGAUGAUGACCAUGAUUAUUCAGUGUAGGAAAAGAAAGAGAGGUGCAAGGAAGGGAACUCCUCCCUCUAGCUUCCCCUCCCCCACCCCUACCCUCAUUACGAAUGCUAACUUUGUAGAGUUUGAUGGAGCUCAUCAGAGCUCACCGAAGCUAGAGAAGGUUGUACUACAUUAAUCGUAUGUAGAGCAAAUGCAUGUGAAGAUCAAAGAAUUUGUAAGAUUUUGAUUUGAUUUUUUUGUUGAAUACCAUUUAGCACAUCCGUACAUUUACGUUCCAAAUUAAUUCUCAAAGUAUAUAAAUUACCCAAAAUUAGUUCACUAUAAAUAAAUUAGCACCGUGUAUCAACAAUCUCCGCGUACAGGCAUGAAAAAAGAAUUUUUCUUAUUUUUACAGUGUAUUCUUGUGUAAAAGAGGUGGAGGAGAUCGAGAUUCCUAAUGUGCUAUAUAUAGUAAUAAAUGUAUACACAAGGAGAGUUUAUGUACA